GAUGAACGCUAGCGGCAGGCCUAAUACAUGCAAGUCGAACGGUGUAGCAAUACACAGUGGCGCACGGGUGCGUAACACGUAUGCAACCUACCUUACAUUGGGGGAUAGCCUUUCGAAAGGGAGAUUAAUACCGCAUAAGACAGUAACUAGGCAUCUAGUAGCUGUUAAAGAUUUAUCGAUGUAAGCUGGGCAUGCGUCCAAUUAGUUAGUUGGCGAGGGAAUGGCUCACCAAGACGAUGAUUGGUAGGGGAACUGAGAGGUCAAUCCCCCACACGGGCACUGAGAUACGGGCCAGACUCCUACGGGAGGCAGCAGUAGGGAAUAUUGGGCAAUGGGCGCAAGCCUGACCCAGCCAUGCCGCGUGCAGGAAGAAGGCGUUAUGCGUUGUAAACUGCUUUUAUACAGGAAGAAACGACCCUUGCGAGGGGCAUUGACGGUACUGUAUGAAUAAGCACCGGCUAACUCCGUGCCAGCCGCCGCAGUAAAAC
rnacentral:rRNA from 1 species